rnacentral:rRNA from 1 species
GAGUUUGAUCCUGGCUCAGAAUGAACGCUGGCGGCGUGCCUAACACAUGCAAGUCGGAUGUGCCGCAAGGUGCAUGGCAGACGGGUGAGUAACGCGUGGGGAACCUACCUCUUUGUGGGGAAUAACGCUCCGAAAGGAGUGGUAAUACCGCAUGAGACCUUCAGCUGGGAUGCUGGAGGUGAAACCUGGGGACCAGCAAUGGCCUGGGGCAAGGAGAGGGUCCUGCGUCUGAUUAGCUAGUUGGCGGGGUAAUGGCCCGCCAAGGCAUCGAUCAGUAGCCGGCCUGAGAGGGUGAUCGGCCACACUGGAACUGAGACACGGUCCAGACUCCUACGGGAGGCAGCAGUGGGGAAUUUUGCGCAAUGGGCGAAAGCCUGACGCAGCAACGCCGCGUGGGUGAUGAAGGUCUUCGGAUUGUAAAACCCUGUCGUCAGGGACGAAGGUGCACAUGUUAAUAGCGUGUGUGCUUGACGGUACCUGGAGAGGAAGCCCCGGCUAACUCUGUGCCAGCAGCCGCGGUAAUACAGAGGGGGCAAGCGUUAUUCGGAAUUAUUGGGCGUAAAGGGCGCGUAGGCGGUUUUUUAAGUCAGAUGUGUAAUCCCCGAGCUUAACUUGGGAACUGCAUCUGAGACUGGAAGGCUAGAGUACUGGAGAGGGUGGUGGAAUUCCUCGUGUAGCGGUGAAAUGCGUAGAGAUGAGGAGGAACACCAGUGGCGAAGGCGGCCACCUGGACAGUAACUGACGCUGAGGCGCGAAAGUGUGGGUAGCAAACAGGAUUAGAUACCCUGGUAGUCCACGCUGUAAACGAUGAACACUUGGUGUGGAGGGAGUUGACCCCUUCCGUGCCGGAGCUAACGCGUUAAGUGUUCCGCCUGGGGAGUACGGUCGCAAGGCUGAAACUCAAGGAAUUGACGG